rnacentral:lncRNA from 1 species
AGAUGCAUACAUGUGGGACUGUUAUGUGUGCAAGAAUCAGCUAAAGACAGGCCAUCCAUUUCAACUGUUGUUUCUAUGCUCUCUAGUGAAAUUGCACAUCUUCCUCCCCCAAAGCAACCUCCAUUCUUGGAGAAGCAGACUGCGAUAGAUAUUGAGUCUUCUCAACUGAGACAAAACAAAUAUUCUUCAAACCAAGUAACAGUUACAGUCAUUCAGGGCCGAUAGAAUAUGAUUAGGUGACAAUUAGUUUGAUUAUUUAUUUUUUAUGUGGGUAUGUAUUCAAUUUGGUGCCUUCAGUCUGAAGAACCCCAUCAUGUACUGCUAUCUAAUUUAUUGAUUUGGAUCCUUUAUUCUUCAGCAAAAUGUAUAUAGAUCUUCUACACUGAGCUCUUCAAAAAGAUAUGGAACAGAGAAACAACACAUGAAAAUUGGACUUGUUAGUUUUGGAUUGAAUCAGCUUUUAUUUUAAUACCUAGGCAUCUAAUGUAGAGGUGUGAUGGUUUCCAAACUCAAUGCAGACCCUUCUUUUGGAGUGGCAUGUAAAAUUGGUGCUAGGAGACCAAAUCACUUGUCCGUUUGUGUCUGCCCAUUGUUUCGACGAGGCACCUUGUUUUAACAAUAAAACCAAUUUAAGACUUCCCAAAACAGAGUUGACGAUGACUUUGAUAUUUUUUUGAAAGAAACAUCUACACUUGUCGUGGAAAGAUAUGAGGAGGAAGUUAAGACAGGACAUCUCAUACAACCUUUAGACGGAGUCCAUUUUCACAGAAACAAGAAGCAUUGGAGCAGCUAUGGGGAUCAACAGUGGCACUACUGUAAGAGUUCUAUUGCUCUUAUUUUAUUGUUUUUGGUUUGAGUAUUGCGUUUAUGCCAUAGACACCUUUACAUCCACACACUUCAUCAAGAAUUCUGAAACUAUAGUCUCUAAUGGAAGUCUCUUCAAACUGGGUUUCUUUAGCCCUAGUAAUUCUACCAAACGCUAUGUCGGAAUCUGGUACGGCAAGACUUCUGUAUCCUCUGUGGUAUGGGUUGCUAACAGGGACAAGCCCCUUAAUGAUACUUCUGGAAUUGUGAAGAUAUCUGAAGAUGGUAAUCUUCAAAUUUUGAAUGGCGAGAAAGAGGUUAUCUGGUCAUCAAAUGUUUCAAAUGCUGUAUCAAACACAACCGCGCAGCUUUUAGAUUCUGGAAACCUAGUUUUGAAAGACGACAGCAGUGGAAGGAUCAUAUGGGAGAGUUUCCAGCAUCCUUCUCAUGCACUUUUGGCAAAUAUGAAACUCAGCACCAACAUGUACACUGCUGAGAAACGAGUGCUGACAUCAUGGAAAAAGGCUUCGGAUCCAUCCAUUGGAAGCUUCUCUGUAGGAGUUGAUCCAUCAAAUAUCGCUCAAACUUUCAUUUGGAAUGGCAGUCAUCCAUAUUAUCGCACUGGUCCAUGGAAUGGCCAGAUCUUUAUUGGAGUAGCCAACAUGAAUUCAUUUGUUGGUAAUGGGUUUCGGAUGGAGCAUGAUGAAGAAGGUACCGUUUCUGUAUCUUUUACUACUAAUGAUUUUUUAUCAUUGUACUUUACCUUGACUCCUGAAGGAACAAUGGAGGAAAUAUAUAGACAGAAGGAAGAUUGGGAGGUCAGAUGGGAAAGCAAGCAAACUGAGUGUGAUGUUUAUGGUAAGUGUGGGGUAUUUGGAAUCUGUAAUCCAAAGAAUUCACCAAUUUGUAGCUGUUUGCGAGGGUAUGAGCCAAAGUCUGUAGAGGAAUGGAAUAGAGGAAAUUGGACUAGUGGGUGUGUGAGGAAGACUCCAUUGCAAUGUGAGAGAACAAAUGGUAGCAUUGAAGUGGGAAAAAUGGAUGGAUUUUUUAGGGUAACAAUGGUGAAAGUACCAGAUUUUGUAGAAUGGUUCCCUGCUCUUAAAAAUCAAUGCAGAGAUAUGUGCUUGAAGAAUUGUUCCUGUAUAGCUUAUUCCUAUAGUAAUGGAAUUGGUUGUAUGUCAUGGAGUCGUGACUUACUCGAUAUGCAAAAGUUCUCUAGCAGUGGAGCAGAUCUUUACAUUCGUGUUGCAGACACGGAACUAGGUAAAAUGGUCUUGUUUCCUUUACCUCUUUCUCUCUCUGCUUAGAUACUAGUUCAUAUUUUGAUGAAUUUUUAGUUCGAUAUUUACUUCUUGUUUUGAUUUACAGAUGAAAAGAGAAAUGUGAAAGUAAUUGUUUCAGUUAUAGUGAUUAUAGGAACAAUUACUAUCAUCUGCAUAUAUUUAUCAUGCAGGUGUUGGAUGACCAAACAAAGAGGUAAUAUUUCCCAUUUAACAUAGUCUAGUGGGAUGGGAUAUAUUUGUAGUUUUUAUCAUUACAUUCUCACUGCUAAAUUCACGAUCAGCAAGAGUAAGAAGGGAGAAAAUCCUGGAAGUGCCACUUUUUGAAAGAGGGAAUGUACAUCCAAAUUUUUCUGAUGCCAAUAUGCUUGGAAACAAUGUGAACCAAGUUAAACUUGAAGAGCAACAGCUUAUCAAUAUUGAGAAGCUGGUGACAGCAACAAAUAACUUUCAUGAGGCCAAUAAGCUGGGGCAGGGUGGUUUUGGUUCAGUGUACAGGGUAAUGCGUCUUCAACUGGAGCUUUAUUGGGUAUUAUGUUUGGACUAGUAUUUACUAGUUUGAUGAUUGUUUAAAGGGAAAAUUGCCAGAAGGACAAGAAAUAGCAGUGAAGAGGCUAUCAAGAGCAUCUGCCCAGGGGCUUGAAGAAUUUCUGAAUGAGGUUAUGGUGAUUUCUAAUGUCCAACACCGAAACCUUGUUAGACUUCUUGGCUGCUGCACUGAAGGAGAUGAAAAGAUGUUGGUCUAUGAGUACCUGCCAAAUAAAAGCUUGGAUGCCUUUCUCUUUGGUUAGAUCAUGCUAUUGUCCCUUCUCUUAUCCAUAGUUUCUGAAAUUUCUUAGUUCCACAUCAAUUGUCUCUUACCUUUUGUUUUCUGUUUUGGAUGCUAUUAAUUCAGAUCCUGUCAAGCGAGAUUCUCUAACUUGGAGGAGACGCUUCAGCAUUAUUGAAGGGAUUGCCCGAGGCCUCCUUUACCUUCACAGGGAUUCUAGAUUCAGAAUUAUUCAUCGGGACCUUAAGCCAAGUAACAUUUUAUUGGAUGAAGACAUGAAUCCUAAAAUUUCAGAUUUUGGUAUGGCCAGGAUAUUUCAAGCCAAACAGGAUAAAGCCAACACCGUCAGGAUUGCUGGAACAUAGUAAGUAGCCCUUGCUUUCUCCAAGUUCCCUUAACUUGGAUCCGAUAUUUAUUUCUGUCUCAAUGACAAAGUGCAGUGGCUAUAUGUCUCCGGAGUAUGCAAUGGAAGGGAUUUUUUCAGAGAAGUCCGAUGUAUUCAGCUUUGGAGUAUUAUUAUUAGAGAUUAUAAGCGGGAUAAAAAGCGCAGGCUUUUGUCAUGAUGAGCAGUCUUUGAGCCUUUUAGGAUAUGUAAGUGUUUUCUGUAUCAUCACCUCAGUUCUGUAAAGCUUCAUCAUCCUCUUCCUGUGACUGUUGAACUCUAAUAAGUUUCAAUUUAUGUGUUAAUUUUUCAGGCAUGGAAACUAUGGAAUGGAGACAGCAUGGAAGCAUUUAUAGACGGGAGAAUAUCAGAAGAAUGCUACCAAGAGGAGAUAUUGAGAUGCAUACAUGUGGGGUUGUUAUGUGUGCAAGAAUUAGCAAAAGAUCGGCCAUCUAUUUCAAUUGUUGUUUCUAUGCUCUGUAGUGAAAUUACUCAUCUUCCUUCCCCAAAGCCACCUGCAUAUAGUGAGAGGCAGAUUACAAUAGAUACAGAGUCCUCCAGGAGACAAAACUUAUGUUCAGUGAACCAAGUAACUGUUACAAACGUCCAUGCCCGGUAAAAAUUAGGUUAGAGAAAAUUAAAUCUUUAUUUGUAAUAUAUAUUUUGAUGAUUUCUGUGGGGAGGACUGUGCCCAUCCUCGUUUCAAGGAGCCCAUGAAGCUAUAGUUGCACGAAACAAUCAGUUUUGUUGAUUUUGAUACUUCAUUUCUCAAGAAAAAUCUAUACACCUUGAAAUAAAAACAUGCAGAUCAGAGAAAUAUCAUUGGAAAUUGGACAGGUUAAAGAUAAUAGGUAUUAAUGCUUUAUACUCUUUCUGGAUUGAAUUGCUUCUGUUUUAGUGCCCAAGCAUCUAAUGUGGAAGUGUGAAUAUGUGAUGGUUUCCAGAGUUGAAUGCAAGCCCCAUUUGUUUGACUGCCAGCCACAGUGGGUGGUUGCAGAUAAAAUAACAUUCCAUGUAAGCUUUCAAAUUGAUCCAUGUGAUGUAAUGGGGUUUAUUAAAAAAAUAUACAGGCUCCUUUUUUUGACGACCAAAUUGAUCCAAUCGUAUGGACAAAGAGAGUUCACCAUGACUUCGGCAGGAGCGGUCGGAUGAAUCUGAGAUGGAACAUUGUCAACAUCCCCAUUUAUGGCAUACCAGAUGGAGUCCAUUUUCUCAUCAACACGAAGCAUUGAAGCAGCUAUGGGAAUCAUCAGUGGCAUAAGUGUUACUUCUCUUACUUUCUUGUCUUUGUUUUCAGUUUUGCACAGGUACCAACACCAUUACAUCCACCCAGUUCAUCAAAGAUCCCGAAGCUAUGCUCUCUAAUGGAAGUCCCUUCAAAAUAGGUUUCUUUAGCUCUGGAAAUUCCACUAAACAAUACUUCGGGAUCUGGUACAACACCACUUCCCGAUUCACUGUUAUAUGGAUAGCUAACAGGGAAAACCCUCUCAAUGAUUCUUCAGGGAUUGUGAUGGUAUCUGAAGAUGGUAAUCUCCUGGUUCUAAAUGGCCACAAAGAGAUCUUCUGGUCAUCAAAUGAUUCAAAUGCCGCUCCAAAUUCAAGUGCCCAGCUUUUAGAUUCUGGGAACCUUGUUUUGCAGGACAAAAACAGUUGAAAGAUCAUAUGGGAGAGCUUCCAGCAUCCUUCUCACACCUUUUUGCAGAAGAUGGAGCUGAGUGAAAACAUUAAGACUGGUUAGAAGAAAGCACUAACAUCAUGGAAAAGUCCUUCGGAUCCACCUGUUGGAAGCUUCUCAGCUGGCAUUCAUCCAUCAAACAUUCCUGAAAUUUUAGUCUGGAGCGGCAGUUGUCCAUUCUGGCGUAGUGGUCCAUGGAAUGGUCAGACCUUAAUAGGAGUACCUGAAAUGAAUUAUCUCAAUGGAUUUCAUGUAGUUGAUGAUCAAGAUGGUAAUGUUUCUGUCCCUUUUGAGCAUGCAUACGCCUCUAUCUUAUGGUAGUAUGUCUCGUCUCCUCAAGGAACAAUAGUGGAAAUGUAUAGCCACGACAGCAUGGAGAAUUGGGAGAUUACAUGGCAGAGUCGUAAAAGUGAGUGUGAUGUCUAUGGCAAGUGUGGGGCAUUUGUAAUUCACCAAUUUGUAGCUGUUUAAGAGGGUUUGAACCAAGGAAUAUAGAGGAAUGGAGUAGAGGAAAUUGGACUGGUGAAUGUGUCAGGAAGAUAAUUAAUUUUAUCUUCAAGCUGUGUCAGAACUCAGAAGUUGUAGCAAAAUUAAUUUUUUUUUUAUAUUUUCUAAAUCCUUUUAAAGAGUAUUUUUAUUGUUGAAAGUGGAAGUAAGAAUGAGAAAUCCAUUUCAUGUCUUAUUUAGUUUUAUAUUUAGAUUAUUUAUUUUAUUUUUUAGUUAGAUUAUUUAUUAAAACAGAAUUGCUAAACACAUACGUCUUAUUUUCUUAUAAGUCCACUUAUUUUUUAUAUAUAUAAAAAAUUAAUUUAUUAUAUUUUUCAACUUCCAAACCCCAUUCACCCCAAACCCUAGUUUCAUUUUCUUCAUUUCUUUUUUUUUUUUUUUACAUUUUCUUAUUUUUUUCUUCUUCAUCCUCAAUUUUUUCCCCCAACAUCAAAAUAAAGAAGGAAAAACCGAUUCAUGUUUUGGAGGAUGGGUGGAGUGAGGUUGAAAAGGAGAGUAUUUUAAAUAUUUUGUAUAUAAAUUUUAUUUUUCAUUAAAAAAAAAUGGGUAGCCGUAUAAAAAGUUUUAAUGGAUAUAUUUAUAAAAUUUUUAUUAGAGAUGAGAAUAUAAAUAAAAUUUUUUAUUGAAACUAAAAUCCUCGCUCUUGUUAGGAUUUUGAUUCUUGACUUGCACCCAAAACCAUUUUUAUAUAUCUAAUGCAAUUUGAUUCAAAAAUUUGUUUAACAGCGUAAUUGCCUAAAUAUUUCAGCAUUGGUUCAAUUAAGCUAAAAAAUUUUUAAAACAAAUUGAAGAAUUUGAAAAAUGUCUUAAGUUUGGCUGAUAAAAAAAGAAUAUCAUUCAGGAAUUCAGCAGCAGGAUUGACUAUUGAGGGUACGGAUUGACUAGCAUGCCUUAAUAUUUGAUUCAUCCCGUAAUUAAUUCCAAUGGACAGCAUCAUCGUAUAGAAAGUUUGGAUCAUCAAGGAGUAGAGGUGAAAAUUGGGCUCGGACCCAUGGCCUGGCUCCGCUUGACACACAGUUGCUGUGCAGGUUGGGCUGCAUUAUGUGGCUCAGUGGAUCGGUCUGGAUAGGCUGGCUUAGUGGGCUCAAUGCAUCUGACUUUUGUUAUAGUGCAGUUUAAUUAUUUUUUUCUCGGGUCCUGAAUAAUAUUUAAAUGUAUGUUGUACUUGAAUUUGAUAUUUGAUUCUUUUAAUUGAAUGAGAAAAAAAAAAAUAUAUAUAUAUAUAUAUAUAGGUGGUCAAUAUGUUGAAUGAGGCCACGUCCAGGGUAGGCUUCUUUGAAUUCUAAAUUAAUUUCUGGAUUCAACGUUUAAAAAAUUUGAACAAUGUUUGACGUCGGACCCAGGAAAGACUGGGUUUUAACAUUCACGAAUUUAGAAGCAUGCACUAACAUUUGAUCCAUCCAGCAAUUAAACCUAAUAGACCGUGUCAUGGUAUGAAGGUACAGUUCCUUGAUCCAUCCAGGGCCCUAACUUAAAGGGUUUUGGUAAAAAUUAAUGUAGCAACCGGUUGAGGAAUUGGGAAGGGAGGAGUCUUCCAGAUUAGUUGAAUGCAAAGCAUUUUUCUAAUGCAAGGCUAUUUGGAAAGAGAAAUUGACUUGCCAGGCAAGACCUGAAAUGGCAUUACUAAAAGAAAUAUUUAUUUAUACAUCCAUAUGGGAACGGAGGGAGAUGAUUUAGACCUUUUGGUUACAGUAUUACAGAUGAAGAUGGAAAAUGUCAAAACAUCAUUGUAUGGCAUAUGCAUCGAAAAUAUUCAUCUCCAUAUUCACAACAGCAACCAUCAUUCAAGAGGUUAUGGAAUCAUCAGCCUCAAGAGCGUAAUAGCUCUACUUCUCUUGCUUUCUGUAAUUUGUUUUGGGUUUUGCACUGCCAUCGACACCAUGACCUCCACUCGAUUCAUCGAAGACCCUGAAACUCUAGUCUCUAAUGGAAGUGCCUUCAAACUGGGUUUCUUUAGCCUUGCCGAUUCAACCAACCGCUACGUUGGCAUCUGGUACAGUACCCCUUCUUUAUCUACUGUCAUAUGGGUGGCUAACAGGGACAAACCCCUCAAUGAUUCCUCUGGACUUGUGACCACAUCUGAAGAUCGUAAUCUUCUGGUUAUGAACGGCCAGAAAGAGAUUUUCUGGUCCUCAAAUGUUUCAAAUGCAGCACCAAAUUCAAGUGCUCAGCUUUUAGAUUCUGGACACCUUGUUCUGCGAGAUAACAGCGGAAGGAUCACAUGGGAGAGCAUCCAACAUCCUUCUCAUUCAUUUUUGCCAAAGAUGAAAAUCAGCGCUGAUACAUACAGUGGUGAGAAGGUAGUACUAACAUCAUGGAAAUCUCCCUCUGAUCCGUCUAUUGGAAGCUUCUCUUUAGGAAUGAGUCCUCUAAACAUUCCUCAAGCAUUCGUCUGGAAUGGCAGUCAUCCAUAUUGGCGAAGUGGUCCAUGGAACGGUCAGAUCUUUAUUGGAGUACCCAAAAUGAAUUCAGUUUUCCUCAAUGGAUUUCAGGUGGUUGAUGAUAAAGAAGGUACUGUUUAUGAAACUUUUACUCUGGCAAAUUCGUCUAUCUUUUUAUAUUAUGUCUUGACUCCCCAAGGAACAGUAGAGGAAACAUAUAGGGAGUACGGGAAGGAGGAGUGGGAGGUUACUUGGAGGAGCAAUAAUAGUGAGUGUGAUGUUUAUGGUACAUGUGGGGCAUUUGGAAUCUGUAAUUCAGGGAAUUCACCAAUUUGCAGCUGUUUGAGAGGGUACGAGCCAAAGUAUAUAGAGGAAUGGAGUAGAGGAAAUUGGACUAGUGGAUGUGUGAGGAAGACGCCAUUACAAUGUGAAAAAACAAACAGCAGCGGUCAACAGGGCAAACUAGACGGAUUUUUUAGGCUAACAACAGUGAAAGUUCCAGACUUUGCGGAUUGAUAUCUUGCUCUCGCAGAUGAAUGCAGAGAGCAGUGCUUGAAGAAUUGUUCUUGCAUGGUUUAUUCAUAUUAUAGUGGCAUCGGUUGUAUGUCAUGGAGUGGAAACUUGAUUGAUUUGGGAAAAUUCACUCAAGGUGGGGCAGAUCUUUACGUUCGCCUUGCCAAUUCAGAACUAGGUAAAAAUGUUCUUGUUUUCUUUACCUCUUGUUUUUCUGGUUGUAUCCUUUUGCAGAAUGGAAUAUGCGAACACCCAAGCUUAUUAAACACCUUAUGGCAACUUCUAUCCAAUCCAGUCUCAUGUAUUAGGCUUUGGUUAUAUAAAUUUUUGAAUAUUUCUUGUUCUGUUUUACAGAUAAGAAGAGAGAUAUGAAAGCAAUUAUUUCUGUUACAAUUGUAAUAGGAAUAAUUGCCAUUGGCAUCUGUACAUAUUUCUCAUGGAGGUGGAGACGCAAACAAAUAGGUAAUUUUCCCAUUUAAAGCAGCUCAGUAGGCUAUGCUAUGAUAGAUUUGUAGUUGUCAUCUAGAAAUGACUCACUUCUACAUUUUGCAACAGUGAAAGAUAAAAGCAAGGAGAUAUUACUAUCUGACCGAGGGGAUGCAUAUCAAAUUUAUGAUAUGAAUAGGUUUGGAGACCAUGCAAACCAGGUUAAACUUGAAGAGUUACCACUUCUCGCCCUUGGGAAGCUGGCAACUGCAACAAACAACUUUCAUGAGGCCAAUAAGCUUGGGCAGGGUGGUUUCGGUCCAGUAUACAAGGUAAUGCUUGUUCAUUUUGAGCUUUCUAGGGUAUUAUUUUGAGCUAUUAGUUAUUAAUUUAGUUGAUUGUUUGAAGGGAAAAUUACCCGGAGGACAAGAAAUAGCAGUGAAAAGACUUUCAAGAGCAUCUGCACAGGGUCUAGAAGAAUUCAUGAAUGAGGUGGUUGUGAUUUCUAAAAUCCAACACCGGAAUCUUGUUAGACUUUUUGGCUACUGCAUUGAAGGAGGUGAAAAGUUGUUGAUCUAUGAGUACAUGCCAAACAAAAGCUUGGAUUCCUUUCUCUUUGGUUAGACCAUGUUAUUGUCCCUAAUGUUAUAUGUAGAUGUUCCAAUUUCAUAGCUCUGCAUCACUGUAGAUUCAAUGCAGCAGUAUUUUUAUCCACAUUGCACAUUGAGGCUUAUGUUUCCGUUUUCUUUUUCUAUGUCCAUCAUUCAGAUCCUCUCAAGCGUGACUUUUUGGAUUGGAGAAGAUGCUUCAACAUUAUCGAAGGGAUUGGAAGAGGCCUUCUUUACCUACACAGGGAUUCUAGAUUGAGAAUCAUUCAUCGAGAUCUCAAGGCAAGUAACAUUUUGUUGGAUGAAGACCUGACUGCUAAGAUUUCAGACUUUGGUAUAGCAAGGAUAGUUGGAAGGUAUCAGGAUCAAGCCAAUACAAUGAGGGUGGUGGGAACCUAGUAAGUGGUCAUUGCAUUCUCACAGUUCCCGUAACUAAUCUAAUUAUUAUGCCAAUAUUUAUGGUUCAAAUGAUUAAAUGCAGUGGCUAUAUGUCCCCUGAAUAUGCAAUGGAAGGACGAUUUUAAGAAAAAUCCGAUGUAUUCAGCUUUGGGGUGUUGUUAUUAGAGAUUGUAAGUGGGAGAAGGAACACUAGUUUUCAAUAUGAUGACCAGUACAUGAGCCUUUUGAUAUAUGUAAGUGUAUAAUGGAAAUCAUCACCUUAGUUAUAAAGAGUUUCAUCAUUGUAUUCCAGCAAAUUUAACCUAAAAUUACACUAUGUUGUGUUAAAUUUUUCAGGCAUGGACACUCUGGUGCGAACACAACAUCAAAGAACUAAUAGAUCAAACCAUAGCAGAAGCUUGCUUCCAAGAGGAGAUAUCAAGAUGCAUACAUGUGGGACUGUUAUGUGUGCAAGAAUCAACUAAAGACAGGCCAUCCAUUUCAAUUGUUCUGUCUAUGCUCUCUAGUGAAAUUGCACAUCUUCCUCUCCCAAAGCAACCUUCAUUCUCUGAGUCUAAUCAACUGAGACAAAAGAAAUGUUCUUCAAACCAAGUCACUAUUACAGUCAUUGAAGGUCGAUAGAAUAUGAUUGGGUGACAAUUAGUUCAAUUUUUUUAUUUUUUAUUUGGAUAAAUAUUCAAUUUGGUGACUUCAGUAUGAAGAACCUGAUCAGAUCCUUUAUCAUUCAGCAAAAUGUAUCUAGAUCUUCAACAAUGAGCUCUUCAAAAU